UGAGUCUCGGCGCUUUAGCCUUUCGGACUAAACAAAAGCAAAGCAAAGUGCAUAGCCUGCACAGGUGUCUCGCCGAUGGAGCGACCAGAGAGUUCCAUGUGAUGGUAACAGAAUAAAAGAAGCUCCAACCGCGACACACGGUCGUUCUCAGUUGGCCUCCACAGCCAGCCAUCGUUUUCGAGCUGCCAACACAUCUCAUGGCAUCACACGACCUUUUGAGCUUUUGAAGCAUCACAUCGCCGCCUGAUGCUACUACACCGAAGCACGGGACCAUCUCAUAAAAAAAAAAAGCACGCGGCCGUCGGGAUGUAUUUUUCCACGGAGAUUAUUGAUCGAGUUCGAAGAAGCCCCACUCACGAUUUAUGGACCGGCCGACCCGGGUUUUAUAGGCUAGGCCGUGCCGUGCAAAAGCCUGCUACUUGCUUAAACGGGC
rnacentral:lncRNA from 1 species